rnacentral:SRP_RNA from 1 species
GACCGGACUAGGCCGGGCAGUUAGGCCACUGCUCUCCCGCCCAAACGGUCUUCAAGGGGGCCGACCACCGAGGGCGUCCGAGCCGACCGGUUCGGGCCCCGCGAGCGGACGUCGAAGCCUCGUCCCACGAGGGCAGCGGUCCGUGCUCUGCCAUCUGCAGGGAUGGUACGACGCGGUUGACCGCGGGAAAUCCACCAGGCGCGGAAGCGAGCAGUGGUACCGUGGACACCUGUCGCCCGUGGGGUCGCGGGGUGGAGGAAGCGAGCGGGAUUCCCCGUGCCGGAACGCUCGGGCAAUCUCGACGUCCACCA